ACUAAUUAUUAUAGUUUUGGAACUCAAGAUAGCGCCGCGUUUAAAGUAGAUGCCACCAAUGGACUAUAUAUUGAAUAUGAUGCCACAACAGAUGUUAAAAGAACAUUACGGGUUUAUUUAAGAUGUGACAAAGGUGAAGAGGGUAAACUUGAUGUUAAAGGACAAUUUCCCGCUGGCAGCGCUAUAUAUGUGAUGAUUUUAACAAGUAUAUACAGCUGCACACAGUCUCCUGGCCCGACUCCACCCCCGUGUAAACAUAGCCACAGAGAGUGGCUUAUUAUCAUAAUACUUUCAUGUAUAAUGUUAUCAUUGUUGGUGUUGAUAAUAUUAUCAUCGAUUAUCAUCUGUCUACAAAUAAGGAAUAACAGAAACAAGUCAUUUACAACAACAAUUCCUAAUCCAAAAGUCUCUGAAAAGAAAUCGUACGGGACUCUUAAUUAAGCUAAACCAAGCAUUGUUUUAAUCUAUAAGAU